UAGGCAGAUGCCUGUUGGCAUUUGGGAUCAAAAUGAUGAGCUUUAAAGCAGUUGCGAGACUGAGAUGUGAAGUGCUUUAUGCCUAAACUUUAAUACGUCCUGAUUAUUCUUGCCCCCUAAGGCGAAUGGUCCUGACCUCGACAGCCAUUUUCAUCAGAUAUCAU